rnacentral:misc_RNA from 1 species
UCCGGCUUACACCGGCGGUCUCCUGUGAGUCCCCAACUUUACUUGCUGGUAACACAGGACGAGGGUUGCGCUCGUUGGCGGACUUAACCGUACACCUCACGGCACGAGCUGACGACAGCCAUGCAACAAGUGUCUUCACGUCCCCUUGUGGGGGAGGGCCCAAUCUCUUGAGCUUACGAUCGAUGUCAAACCUGGGUAAGGUUCUUCGGUUAGUAUCGAAUUAAUCCACAUGCUCCACCGCUUGUGCGGGUCCCCGUCAAUUCAUUUGAGUUUCAACCUUGCGGCCGUACUCCCCAGGCGGGAUACUUAAUGCGUUAGCUGCGGCACAAGAGGGGUCGAUACCUCUUACGCCUAGUAUCCAUCGUUUAGGGCGUGGACUAC